AGUCGAGGGGCAGCGAGUAGAUUGCUUGCAAUCUACGUCGGCGACCGGCGCACGGGUGCGUAACGCGUAUGCAACCUACCCAUUACAGGGGGAUAACACUGAGAAAUCGGUACUAAUACCCCAUAACAUCCAGGGAGGCAUCUUCUUGGGUUGAAAACUCCGGUGGUAAUGGAUGGGCAUGCGUUGUAUUAGUUAGUUGGUGGGGUAACGGCUCACCAAGACGACGAUACAUAGGGGGACUGAGAGGUUAACCCCCCACAUUGGUACUGAGACACGGACCAAACUCCUACGGGAGGCAGCAGUGAGGAAUAUUGGUCAAUGGACGCAAGUCUGAACCAGCCAUGCCGCGUGCAGGAAGACGGCUCUAUGAGUUGUAAACUGCUUUUGUACGAGGGUAAACGCAGAUACGUGUAUCUGUCUGAAAGUAUCGUACGAAUAAGGAUCGGCUAACUCCGUGCCAGCAGCCGCGGUAAUACGGAGGAUUCAAGCGUUAUCCGGAUUUAUUGGGUUUAAAGGGUGCGUAGGCGGUAUUUUAAGUUAGUGGUAAAACGUCGGGGCUUCACCUUGAUUGGCCAUUAAAACUGGAGUACUAGAGUACAGACGAGGUAGGCGGAAUAAGUUAAGUAGCGGUGAAAUGCUUAGAUAUAACUUAGAACCCCGAUAGCGAAGGCAGCUUACCAGACUGUUACUGACGCUGAAGCACGAGAGCGUGGGUAGCGA
rnacentral:rRNA from 1 species